rnacentral:rRNA from 1 species
UACGAAGGGGGCAAGCGUUGUUCGGAAUUACUGGGCGUAAAGCGUGCGCAGGCGGCGCGUUAAGACAGGUGUGAAAGCCCCGAGCUUAACUUGGGAAUUGCGCUUGUGACUGGCGGGCUGGAGUGUGGCAGAGGGAGGUGGAAUUCCACGUGUAGCAGUGAAAUGCGUAGAGAUGUGGAGGAACACCGAUGGCGAAGGCAGCCUCCUGGGCCAGCACUGACGCUCAUGCACGAAAGCGUGGGGAGCAAACAGG